GAUUAUAUAUUAUUUAUUUGCUGUGAUUUUUCGAUGAAGAUUUUAAUCAUGUUUUCUUUUCUUGCAUGGGAUGUUCUGAGCUGUUGGUCGAGAAAGUUCAAGGCUUCAAUUCAAAUAACCACAUAGGAUAUGUGAUGCUGUAGACGAGUAUCCCGGCGAAUCCUGAGAAGCGUAUCCUGAGCGUAGGAGCAAAUGACACAAAUGAUAUGUGAUAUGGAAGACCACACCGAUGGAUUGACUUGGACAGAGAUGAACUUCGAUUUAACUUUUAUGUUUAUAUCUUCCAAUUUUAGUUGUUGAAUGGAAAAAAUUUGGACG